rnacentral:rRNA from 1 species
ACAGCCUAACACAUGCAGUCGAGCGGAUGACGGGAGCUUGCUCCUUGAUUCAGCGGCGGACGGGUGAGUAAUGCCUAGGAAUCUGCCUGGUAGUGGGGGACAACGUUUCGAAAGGAACGCUAAUACCGCAUACGUCCUACGGGAGAAAGCAGGGGACCUUCGGGCCUUGCGCUAUCAGAUGAGCCUAGGUCGGAUUAGCUAGUUGGUGGGGUAAUGGCUCACCAAGGCGACGAUCCGUAACUGGUCUGAGUGGAUGAUCAGUCACACUGGAACUGAGACACGGUCCAGACUCCUACGGGAGGCAGCAGUGGGGAAUAUUGGACAAUUGGGCGAAAGCCUGAUCCAGCCAUAGCCGCGUAGUGUAGAAGAAGGUCUUACGGAUUGUAAAGCACUUUAAGUUGGGAGGGAAGGGCAGUAAGUUAAAUACCUUGCUGUUUUUGACGUUACCGACAGAAAUAAGCACCCGGCUUAA